UACGUAGGGGUCUAGCGUUGUCCGGAAUUAUUGGGCGUAAAGAGCUCGUAGGCGGUUUGUCGCGUCGAAUGUGAAAACCCGGGGCUCAACCCCGGGCCUGCAUUCGAUACGGGCAGACUAGAGUUCGGUAGGGGAGUCUGGAAUUCCUGGUGUAGCGGUGAAAUGCGCAGAUAUCAGGAGGAACACCGGUGGCGAAGGCGGGACUCUGGGCCGAUACUGACGCUGAGGAGCGAAAGCGUGGGGAGCAAACAGG
rnacentral:rRNA from 1 species